rnacentral:rRNA from 1 species
UACGGGGGGGGCAAGCGUUGUUCGGAAUUACUGGGCGUAAAGGGUUCGUAGGCGGUUCGAUAAGUCGGGUGUGAAACCUCCAGGCUCAACCUGGAGACGCCACCCGAUACUGUUGUGACUAGAGUCCAGUAGGGGAGCGUGGAAUUCCUGGUGUAGCGGUGAAAUGCGCAGAUAUCAGGAGGAACACCAGUGGCGAAGGCGGCGCUCUGGGCUGGAACUGACGCUGAGGAGCGAAAGCGUGGGGAGCGAACAGG